UUUCUAUUGUUACAUAGGAAUAAGGAAAAAUAUGGCUGAAAUUCUCAAGUUUGUUUAUAUUAUAAUUAUUUUUCUUUUCAUCACUGAAAUCAAAGGCGAUAAGUUUGUUUUUGACAAAAAUGGCGCAGAUCGAUGCCGUUCUAUUCUAGAUUGUCCUCAAGACAAGUGUUUCCCUCUUCUAACUUUAGUAUGCGUAAAUUUUGCUUGUGAUUGUCUGCACGUGUAGCAAAUAAAAUCAAAAAUAAUUCCUUAGUACUCCUUAAAAUAUAAUUGGAUUUGAAAUUAUAUAGUUUUUACUUUUAUGAUUUCUCUCAAACAACAACAUUUGUUCUCUCUCCAUGAAACAAUUGUAAAAUGAUCAUUAGUGCCACCGUAAUUAAUAAUAAUUUUUCCCUCAAUUUUUAUGUACUA